rnacentral:rRNA from 1 species
GAUGAACGCUAGCUACAGGCUUAACACAUGCAAGUCGAGGGGAAACGACAUCGAAAGCUUGCUUUUGAUGGGCGUCGACCGGCGCACGGGUGAGUAACGCGUAUCCCACCUGCCUAUUACUGGGUAAUAACUUGCGAAAGACACUAUUAUAACCCACGAUUUCCCACUGAAGGCAUGGGAUGGGCGUAAAUGUUUCUCGGUGAUGGGCGGGGGUGGGUCUGAUUAGUUUGCUGGCUGGGGGACCGCCCACCAAGGGAACGAUCAGUAGGGGGUCUGAGAGGAAGGUCCCCCACAUUGGAACUGAGACACGGUCCAAACUCCUACGGGAGGCAGCAGUAAGGAAUAUUGGUGGAUGGACGAGAGCCUGAACCAGCCAAGUAGCGUGCAGGAAGACUGCCCUAUGGAUUGUAAACUGCUUUGAUAAGAGAAUAGAGUGGGUCACGUGUGACUUUUUGCAUGUACCUAAUGAAUAAGGACCGGCUAAUUCCGUG